rnacentral:rRNA from 1 species
UACGUAGGGGGCAAGCGUUGUCCGGAUUUAUUGGGCGUAAAGAGCGUGUAGGCGGCCAGGCAGGUCCGCUGUGAAAACUCGAGGCUCAACCUCGAGAGGUCGGUGGAAACCGUAUGGCUAGAGUCCGGAAGAGGAGAGUGGAAUUCCCGGUGUAGCGGUGAAAUGCGCAGAUAUCGGGAAGAACACCUAUGGCGAAGGCAGCUCUCUGGGACGGUACUGACGCUGAGACGCGAAAGCGUGGGGAGCAAACAGG